rnacentral:misc_RNA from 1 species
GAAAUGCGAUAAGUAAUGUGAAUUGCAGAAUUCAGUGAAUCAUCGAAUCUUCGAACGCACAUUGCGCCCGCCAGCACUCUGGCGGGCAUGCCUGUUCGAGCGUCAUUUCAACCCUCAGAACCCCUUGCGGGAUCUGGCGUUGGGGAUUGGCAUCCAGCCAGCCCCGAAAUCUAGUGGCGGUCCCUCCGCGACCUCCCCUGUGCAGUAGCGAUACCUCGCAGCGGGACAGCGGUCUGACCACGCCGUAAAACCCCCAACUUCUCAAGGUUGACCUCGAAUCAGGUAGGAAUACCCGCUGAACUUAAGC